rnacentral:rRNA from 1 species
UACGUAGGGGGCAAGCGUUGUCCGGAAUCAUUGGGCGUAAAGAGCGUGUAGGCGGCCCGAUAAGUCCGCUGUGAAAGUCCAGGGCUCAACCCUGGGAUGCCGGUGGAUACUGUCGGGCUCGAGUCCGGAAGAGGAGUGUGGAAUUCCUGGUGUAGCGGUGAAAUGCGUAGAUAUCAAGAGGAACACCUGAGGUGAAGACGGGUUGCUGGGCUGACACUGACGCUGAGGCGCGAAAGCCAGGGGAGCAAACGGG